AAACGAAGUGGGAAGGCUCAGACAGCCAGGAUGUUGGCUUAGAAGCAGCCAUCAUUUAAAGAAAGCGUAAUAGCUCACUGGUCGAGUCGGCCUGCGCGGAAGAUGUAACGGGGCUCAA
rnacentral:rRNA from 1 species